rnacentral:snRNA from 1 species
GUGCUUGCUUCGGCAACACAUAUGCUGAAACUGGAACACUACAGAGAAGAUUAGCAUGGCCCCCGUGCAAGGAUGACACAGAAUCAUGAAGCGUUCUGUAGUUUU